rnacentral:rRNA from 1 species
GGGUUGUGAGGUUAAGCGAAUAAGCGUACACGGUGGAUGCCUAGGCAAUCAGAGGCGAUGAAGGACGUGCUAAUCUGCGAUAAGCGUCGGUAAGGUGAUAUGAACCGUUAUACCCGACGAUUUCCGAAUGGGGAAACCCAAUAUCCAAUGGAUAUUAUCAUUAACUGAAUACAUAGGUUAAUGAAGCGAACCGGGAGAACUGAAACAUCUCAGUACCCCGAGGAAAAGAAAUCAACCGAGAUUCCCCUAGUAGCGGCGAGCGAACGGGGAACAGCCCAGAGUCUUAAUCAAUAGCAGCAUCAGGAGAACGGUCUGGAAAGUCCGGCAGUAAAGGGUGAUAGCCCCGUAUCCGAAGAUGCUGUUAUUGUGAACUCGACGAGUAGGGCGGGACACGUGUUAUCCUGUCUGAAUAUGGGGGGACCAUCCUCCAAGGCUAAAUACUCCUGAUUGACCGAUAGUGAACCAGUACCGUGAGGGAAAGGCGAAAAGAACCCCGGCGAGGGGAGUGAAAAAGAACCUGAAACCGUGUACGUACAAGCAGUAGGAGCCCCAUCACUCAAGUGCCUCGCACUGAGUGAUUGGACAAACCACUCGAAAACAGCGCAGCGUUUACCUACAAAGUGGAUUGAUUUUUUCAAGCCGUCGCGCAGUGUACAUAGAAGUACACGAGCAACGGAAGUUAAAAAAUCGAGCCAGUUUGACAGUAAAAGCAAGCGGGACAUUUGAGGAUGGGGUGACUGCGUACCUUUUGUAUAAUGGGUCAGCGACUUAUAUUCUGUAGCAAGGUUAACCGUAUAGGGGAGCCGUAGGGAAACCGAGUCUUAACUGGGCGAAUGAGUUGCAGGGUAUAGACCCGAAACCCGGUGAUCUAUCCAUGGGCAGGUUGAAGGUUGGGUAACACUAACUGGAGGACCGAACCGACUAAUGUUGAAAAAUUAGCGGAUGACUUGUGGAUGGGGGUGAAAGGCCAAUCAAACCGGGAGAUAGCUGGUUCUCCCCGAAAGCUAUUUAGGUAGCGCCUCGUGAACUCAUCUUCGGGGGUAGAGCACUGUUUCGACUAGGGGGUCAUCCCGACUUACCAACUCGAUGCAAACUGCGAAUACCGAAGAAUGUUAUCACGGGAGACACACGGCGGGUGCUAACGUCCGUCGUGAAGAGGGAAACAACCCAGACCGCCAGCUAAGGUCCCAAAGUCAUGGUUAAGUGGGAAACGAAGUGGGAAGGCUCAGACAGCCAGGAUGUUGGCUUAGAAGCAGCCAUCAUUUAAAGAAAGCGUAAUAGCUCACUGGUCGAGUCGGCCCGCGCGGAAGAUGUAACGGGGCUAAACCAUGCACCGAAGCUGCGGCAGCGACACUAAGUGUUGUUGGGUAGGGGAGCGUUCUGUAAGCCUGCGAAGGUGUACUGUGAGGUAUGCUGGAGGUAUCAGAAGUGCGAAUGCUGACAUAAGUAACGAUAAUGCGGGUGAAAAACCCGCACGCCGGAAGACCAAGGGUUCCUGUCCAACGUUAAUCGGGGCAGGGUGAGUCGACCCCUAAGGCGAGGCUGAAAAGCGUAGUCGAUGGGAAACGGGUUAAUAUUCCCGUACUGGUGGUAACUGCGAUGGGGGAACGGAGAAGGCUAGGUUGUCCGGGCGACGGUCGUCCCGGUUCAAGCAUGUAGGCAGAGUGAUUAGGCAAAUCCGGUCACUUAAUGCUGAGGUGUGAUGACGAGCCACUAAGGUGGUGAAGCAAUUGAUGCCCUGCUUCCAGGAAAAGCCUCUAAGCUUCAGGUUACCAACAAUCGUACCCCAAACCGACACAGGUGGUCAGGUAGAGAAUACUCAGGCGCUUGAGAGAACUCGGGUGAAGGAACUAGGCAAAAUGGUGCCGUAACUUCGGGAGAAGGCACGCUGGCGGUAAGUGAAGUCCCUUGCGGACGGAGCCGAAGCCAGUCGAAGAUACCAGCUGGCUGCAACUGUUUAUUAAAAACACAGCACUGUGCAAACACGAAAGUGGACGUAUACGGUGUGACGCCUGCCCGGUGCUGGAAGGUUAAUUGAUGGGGUUAUCCUUAGGGAGAAGCUCUUGAUCGAAGCCCCAGUAAACGGCGGCCGUAACUAUAACGGUCCUAAGGUAGCGAAAUUCCUUGUCGGGUAAGUUCCGACCUGCACGAAUGGCGUAAUGAUGGCCAGGCUGUCUCCACCCGAGACUCAGUGAAAUUGAACUCGCUGUGAAGAUGCAGUGUACCCGCGGCAAGACGGAAAGACCCCGUGAACCUUUACUAUAGCUUGACACUGAACAUUGAGCCUUGAUGUGUAGGAUAGGUGGGAGACUAUGAAGUGUGGACGCCAGUCUGCAUGGAGUCAACCUUGAAAUACCACCCUUUAACGUUUGAUGUUCUAACCUAGGCCCAUAAUCUGGGUCGGGGACCGUGUCUGGUGGGUAGUUUGACUGGGGCGGUCUCCUCCUAAAGAGUAACGGAGGAGCACGAAGGUUGGCUAAGCAUGGUCGGACAUCAUGCGGUUAGUGCAAAGGCAUAAGCCAGCUUGACUGUGAGAGUGACGGCUCGAGCAGGUACGAAAGUAGGUCUUAGUGAUCCGGUGGUUCUGAAUGGAAGGGCCAUCGCUCAACGGAUAAAAGGUACUCCGGGGAUAACAGGCUGAUACCGCCCAAGAGUUCAUAUCGACGGCGGUGUUUGGCACCUCGAUGUCGGCUCAUCACAUCCUGGGGCUGAAGUAGGUCCCAAGGGUAUGGCUGUUCGCCAUUUAAAGUGGUACGCGAGCUGGGUUUAGAACGUCGUGAGACAGUUCGGUCCCUAUCUGCCGUGGGCGUUGGAAGAUUGAGAGGGGUUGCUCCUAGUACGAGAGGACCGGAGUGAACGCACCACUGGUGUUCGGGUUGUCAUGCCAAUGGCAUUGCCCGGUAGCUAAGUGCGGAAGAGAUAACCGCUGAAAGCAUCUAAGCGGGAAACUUGCCUCGAGAUGAGUCUUCCCUGUCACCUAGAGUGACCUAAAGGAACGUUUAAGACUAAGACGUUGAUAGGCUGGGUGUGUAAGCGUAGCGAUACGUUGAGCUAACCAGUACUAAUGAACCGUGAGGCUUAACCUGACAACACCGAAGGUGUUU